GUGGGGAAUCUUCCGCAAUGGACGAAAGUCUGACGGAGCGACGCCGCGUGAGUGAAGAAGGCCUUCGGGUCGUAAAGCUCUGUCAUCAGGGACGAACGGCCGGUGGAGUGGAAAGCCACCGGAUUGACGGUACCUGAGAAGGAAGCCACGGCUAACUACGUGCCAGCAGCCGCGGUAAUACGUAGGUGGCAAGCGUUGUCCGGAAUUAUUUGGCGUAAAGCGCGCGCAGGUGGGAUCUUAAGUCCAUUUUGAAAGUUCGGAGCUCAACUCCGUGAUGGGAUGGAAACUGGGAUUCUUGAGUACCGGAGAGGAAAGCGGAAUUCCCCGUGUAGCGGUGAAAUGCGUAGAUAUGGGGAGGAACACCAGUGGCGAAGGCGGCUUUCUGGACGGUGUCUGACACUGAGGCGCGAAAGCUAGGGGAGCGAACGGGAUUAGAUACCCUAGUAGUCC
rnacentral:rRNA from 1 species